ACGUGGGUAACCUGCCCUUAAGUGGGGGAUAACAUUUGGAAACAGAUGCUAAUACCGCAUAGAUCCAAGAACCGCAUGGUUCUUGGCUGAAAGAUGGCGUAAGCUAUCGCUUUUGGAUGGACCCGCGGCGUAUUAGCUAGUUGGUGAGGUAAUGGCUCACCAAGGCGAUGAUACGUAGCCGAACUGAGAGGUUGAUCGGCCACAUUGGGACUGAGACACGGCCCAAACUCCUACGGGAGGCAGCAGUAGGGAAUCUUCCACAAUGGACGCAAGUCUGAUGGAGCAACGCCGCGUGAGUGAAGAAGGCUUUCGGGUCGUAAAACUCUGUUGUUGGAGAAGAAUGGUCGGCAGAGUAACUGUUGCCGGCGUGACGGUAUCCAACCAGAAAGCCACGGCUAACUACGUGCCAGCAGCCGCGGUAAUACGUAGGUGGCAAGCGUUAUCCGGAUUUAUUGGGCGUAAAGCGAGUGCAGGCGGUUUUUUAAGUCUGAUGUGAAAGCCCUCGGCUUAACCGAGGAAGCGCAUCGGAAACUGGGAAACUUGAGUGCAGAAGAGGACAGUGGAACUCCAUGUGUAGCGGUGAAAUGCGUAGAUAUACGGAAGAACACCAGUGGCGAAGGCGGCUGUCUGGUCUGUAACUGA
rnacentral:rRNA from 1 species